rnacentral:rRNA from 1 species
AGCGAACGCUGGCGGCAGGCUUAACACAUGCAAGUCGAGCGGGCACUUCGGUGUCAGCGGCAGACGGGUGAGUAACACGUGGGAACGUACCCUUCGGUUCGGAAUAACGCUGGGAAACUAGCGCUAAUACCGGAUACGCCCUUUUGGGGAAAGGUUUACUGCCGAAGGAUCGGCCCGCGUCUGAUUAGCUAGUUGGUGGGGUAAUGGCCUACCAAGGCGACGAUCAGUAGCUGGUCUGAGAGGAUGAUCAGCCACACUGGGACUGAGACACGGCCCAGACUCGUACGGGAGGCAGCAGUGGAGAAUAUUAGACGAGGGACGCAAGCGUGAUCCAGCCAUGCCGCGUGAGUGAUGAAGGCCUUAGGGUUGUAAAGCUCUUUUGUACGGGACGAUAAUGACGGUACCGGAAGAAUAAGCCCCGGCUAACUUCGUG